GAUGAACGCUGGCGGCGUGCCUAAUACAUGCAAGUCGAGCGAACAGAUAAGGAGCUUGCUCCUUUGACGUUAGCGGCGGACGGGUGAGUAACACGUGGGUAACCUACCUAUAAGACUGGAAUAACUCCGGGAAACCGGGGCUAAUGCCGGAUAACAUUUAGAACCGCAUGGUUCUAAAGUGAAAGAUGGUUUUGCUAUCACUUAUAGAUGGACCCGCGCCGUAUUAGCUAGUUGGUAAGGUAACGGCUUACCAAGGCAACGAUACGUAGCCGACCUGAGAGGGUGAUCGGCCACACUGGAACUGAGACACGGUCCAGACUCCUACGGGAGGCAGCAGUAGGGAAUCUUCCGCAAUGGGCGAAAGCCUGACGGAGCAACGCCGCGUGAGUGAUGAAGGUCUUCGGAUCGUAAAACUCUGUUAUUAGGGAAGAACAAAUGUGUAAGUAAUUGUGCACGUCUUGACGGUACCUAAUCAGAAAGCCACGGCUAACUACGUG
rnacentral:rRNA from 1 species